rnacentral:rRNA from 1 species
ACGACUCUCGACAAUGGAUAUAUUGGUUCUCAUAUCGAUGAAAAAUGUAGCGAAAUGCGAUACUUGGUGCGAAUUGCAGAAUUUUGUGAAGCAUCGAGUUUUUGAAUGCAAGUUGUGCCCAAAGCCACUAGGCCAUGGGCAUGUCUGCUUGGGCGUCACGCUCAACACAAGUAAUGCCUUCGUGUUGAGGAGCGAAAGUUGGCCCCCAUGCUAUCUCAGCCCAAUCGGCCUAAAAGAUGGCCUCGAGUAAUGAGCAUCACGAUCUAUGGUGGUUUAGAACCCGUUUCGUCAUAGACUGACGCCGUGUUUGCCUUGUUGACCACUCGAGCUAUACAAACCCUUAUGUGUUGCAUCUGCCACUCAUUUUGUUACCUCGAGUCAGGCGAAACUAUUUGCUGAGUUUAAGCAUAUCAAUAUGCGGAGGAGAAGAAACUUACAAGGAUUCCUCUAGUAAUGGAAAGUAAACCGGGAUCAAACCAGCUUGAAAAUCGAGUGGCUUCGCAAUCCAAAUUGUAGCCUAUAGAAACGUCCUUAGAAAUGAACUUGUCCCAAGUCCCCUGAAACGGGGCACCAGAAAGAGUGAGAACCUCGUCGUGUCUGGACCAUGUAGCACCAUGAGGCAUUGUUGGCGAGUCGUGUUGUUUGGGAAUGCAGUCCUAAUUAGAUGGUAAAUUCUGUACAAGGCUUAAUAUUGGUGGGAUAGCGACAACGAAUAGGGACCUCUAGGGAAAAAUGAAAAGGACAUUAAAAAAAUAGUCAAAUAGUGCUUGAAUUUUUGGGAGGGAAGUGGUUGUGGGCUGGUGAUCCUCCUAGGUCGGAUGUAGAACGGUGUGAGUCGGUCCGACACUCGACUCUAGACGUCGACUGAUACGAAUUAUGGCGGUGGGCCAAGACCAAGCCCAAGCCGUUUACGUGCUUGUGGAUAUGUCAUCGUCAAGAUUGUGGUGGGUAAUGCGUGCCUUCGGCCUACCUAUGGCAACUGCACGCUCUCGGUUUCUGCCUACAGGCUUGCAAUUUGGUUCGUCAUGAAACAGGGACCAAGAGUCUAACAUGUGUGCGAGUCAAUGGGUGAGUAACUCGUAAGGCACAAAACAGCUGAUUGGUAGGAUCCCCUUGUGGGCUGCACCUCCGACGACCAAGACCUUUGGAGAAUGGUUCGAGUGUGAGCAUACCUAUUGGGACCCUAAAUAUGGUAAACUAUGCCUACGCAAGGAGAAGCCAAAAGAAACUAUUGUGGAGGCCCGCAACGAUACUGACGUGCAAAUAGUUUGUCUGACUUGUGUAUAAAGGUGAAAGACCAAACGAACCAUCUAGUAAAUGAUUCCAUCCAAAGUUUCCCUCGGGAUAGCAGAAGCUCAAGCGUGAGUUCUAUCGGGUAAAGCCAAUGAUUAGAGGCAUCGGGGGCGCAACGACCUCGACCUAUUCUCAAAUUUUAAAUAGGUAGGAAGAUGCAACUGCUUUGUUAAGCCGUACAAUGUUAUCGAGAACUUCAAGUUGGCCAUUUUUGGUAAGAAGAAUCGGUGAUGCGGGAUGAAUCGAAAGUCGGGUUACGGUGCCCAACUACGCACUAACCUAAAACCUACAAAGGGUGUUGGUAUAUUAGGACAGCAGGACGGUGGUCAUGGAAAUCAAAAUUCGUUGAGGAGUAUGUAACAACUCACUUGCCAAAUCACAUAGCCAAAGAAAUGGAUGCCGCUUAAGCGGAUGACCCACACCCAGCUGUUGGGGCAGUUGUUAGACCCUGAUGAGUAGGAGCGCAUGACGGUAGAUGCAAAUGAAGAGGGGUAGUAGCAAAUAUUCAAUUGAGAACUUUGAAGGCCGAAGAGGGGAAAGGUUUGAUGUAAACGACACUUGCACAUGGGUUUUUCAAUUCUAAAAGACGGGGUAACCCCGUUAGAGAGCACAAACUUCGAAAGGAUCAAGUUAAAAUUCUUGAACUGGGACGCGACGGUUGAUGGCAACGUUAGGAAGUCUUGAGACAUCAGGGAGGUCCUCGAAAAGAGUUAUCUUUUAUGUUUAACAGCUCGCCCAUCCCAAAAAUUGCUCAAUAAAAGGUAGGGUCCAGCAACUAGAACACUUCGCGUGUUGUCGGUGCAGCUCCGACAACCCUUGAAAAUUUGGAGGACCAAGUGCCAAUCGCGCCCGGUCGUAUUCAUAACCGCAUCAGGUCUCCAAGGUGAACAACGUCUAUUAGAUGGAACAAUGUAGGCAAGGGAAGUCAAUAAAAUGGAUUUGUAACCUCGAGAAAAGGAUUUGCUAUGAGGACUGGGCCCGGAGGUCUUUGUCCUGAACCUGGAGGCUAUCAGUAGACUGUUUGAGCAACUUUCAAGGUAAGAACUGGUCACUGCAUGCCGACUGGGGGAUGACUUGGAAUGGUCCCUUGGAUGACCUUCUCCAGGUGUCGAACAAUAGACUCAGAACUAGUACCGACAAGGGGAAUUCAACUGUUUUAAUUAAAACAAAGCAUUGCGAUGGUCUUUAUGGAUGCUAGAGCAAUUUGAUUUCUGCCCAGGGUCCUGAAUUUCAAAGUAAAGAAAUUCAACCAAGGGCAAAUAAACGGUGGGAGUGAUUAUCUUAAUGUUGCCAAAUGUCUCGUAAUCUGAUUAGUGGCAUGCAUUUAUGUAUUAACCAGAUUCCCACUAUCCCUAUCUAGUCCGACUUUGUGAAAUGACUUGAGAGGUGUAAGAUAAGUGGUAGGCGCUUGCGUCAAAAGUGAAAUACAACUACUUUUAACGUUAUUUUACUUAUUCCAUGAGUCAAAAGUGAAGCUUUUCCCUUUGGAUCCAAGGGUCGUCUCGACGAUCCGAUCCAGGAAGAAGACAUUGUCUGGUGGGAAGUUUGGCUGGGGCGACACAUCUGUUAAAAAAUAAUGUAGGUGUCCAAGUUUGAGCUCAAUGAGACCAAAAAUCUCGUGUGAGAUAGAAGGGUAAAUGCUCGUUUGAUUCUGAUUUCCUUUGAUGUUGACUCUUCCUAUCAUGUAAAGCAUAAUUCAAUAGUGUUGGAUUUUUCACCUACUAGUAGGGAACAUGAGCUGGGUUUAUAUCGUCAAAAUACAGGUUAUUUUUACCCUACUGAUGAUAGUUUCGCGAUAUUAAUUCAACCUAGUAUAAGAGGAAUUGUUGAUUUACACAAUUGGUCAUCGUGCUUGGUUGAAAAGCUAGUGGCACGAAGCUACCUUGUGCAGGAUUAUGACUGUUGCACAAAAUGUUCCAUGGGAACGGUCCAUGGAACAGUGUAAGGAUUGAUGGAACGUUCCAUCGAAUGAUCCAUGGAACGGUUCAUGGACUGAUGGAAUGAUGCAUGGACUGAUAGAACGAUCUAUGCAACAUUCCAUGUAAUGGUACAAGGACUAAUGGA